rnacentral:rRNA from 1 species
GGGUUGUGAGGUUAAGCGACUAAGCGUACACGGUGGAUGCCCUGGCAGUCAGAGGCGAUGAAGGACGUGCUAAUCUGCGAAAAGCGUCGGUAAGGUGAUAUGAACCGUUAUAGCCGGCGAUGUCCGAAUGGGGAAACCCAGUGCAAUUCGUUGCACUAUCGUUAACUGAAUACAUAGGUUAACGAGGCGAACCGGGGGAACUGAAACAUCUAAGUACCCCGAGGAAAAGAAAUCAACCGAGAUUCCCCCAGUAGCGGCGAGCGAACGGGGAGCAGCCCAGAGUCUGAAUCAGCUUGUGUGUUAGUGGAACGGUCUGGAAAGUCCGACGGUACAGGGUGAUAGUCCCGUACACCAAAAUGCACAGGUUGUGAACUCGAAGAGUAGGGCGGGACACGUGGUAUCCUGUCUGAAUAUGGGGGGACCAUCCUCCAAGGCUAAAUACUCCUGACUGACCGAUAGUGAACCAGUACCGUGAGGGAAAGGCGAAAAGAACCCCGGCGAGGGGAGUGAAAAAGAACCUGAAACCGUGUACGUACAAGCAGUGGGAGCACCUUCGGGUGUGACUGCGUACCUUUUGUAUAAUGGGUCAGCGACUUAUAUUCUGUAGCAAGGUUAACCGUAUAGGGGAGCCGCAGGGAAACCGAGUCUUAACUGGGCGUUAAGUUGCAGGGUAUAGACCCGAAACCCGGUGAUCUAGCCAUGGGCAGGUUGAAGGUUGGGUAACACUAACUGGAGGACCGAACCGACUAAUGUUGAAAAAUUAGCGGAUGACUUGUGGCUGGGGGUGAAAGGCCAAUCAAACCGGGAGAUAGCUGGUUCUCCCCGAAAGCUAUUUAGGUAGCGCCUCGUGAACUCAUCUUCGGGGGUAGAGCACUGUUUCGGCUAGGGGGUCAUCCCGACUUACCAACCCGAUGCAAACUACGAAUACCGAAGAAUGUUAUCACGGGAGACACACGGCGGGUGCUAACGUCCGUCGUGAAGAGGGAAACAACCCAGACCGCCAGCUAAGGUCCCAAAGUCAUGGUUAAGUGGGAAACGAUGUGGGAAGGCACAGACAGCCAGGAUGUUGGCUUAGAAGCAGCCAUCAUUUAAAGAAAGCGUAAUAGCUCACUGGUCGAGUCGGCCUGCGCGGAAGAUGUAACGGGGCUAAACCAUGCACCGAAGCUGCGGCAGCGACACUAUGUGUUGUUGGGUAGGGGAGCGUUCUGUAAGCCUGCGAAGGUGUGCUGUGAGGCAUGCUGGAGGUAUCAGAAGUGCGAAUGCUGACAUAAGUAACGAUAAAGCGGGUGAAAAGCCCGCUCGCCGGAAGACCAAGGGUUCCUGUCCAACGUUAAUCGGGGCAGGGUGAGUCGACCCCUAAGGCGAGGCCGAAAGGCGUAGUCGAUGGGAAACAGGUUAAUAUUCCUGUACUUGGUGUUACUGCGAAGGGGGGACGGAGAAGGCUAUGUUAGCCGGGCGACGGUUGUCCCGGUUUAAGCAUGUAGGCUGGUUAUCCAGGCAAAUCCGGAUAAUCAAGGCUGAGGUGUGAUGACGAGGCACUACGGUGCUGAAGUAACAAAUGCCCUGCUUCCAGGAAAAGCCUCUAAGCAUCAGGUAACAUCAAAUCGUACCCCAAACCGACACAGGUGGUCAGGUAGAGAAUACCAAGGCGCUUGAGAGAACUCGGGUGAAGGAACUAGGCAAAAUGGUGCCGUAACUUCGGGAGAAGGCACGCUGGUGUGUAGGUGAAGUCCCUGCGGAUGGAGCUGAGACCAGUCGAAGAUACCAGCUGGCUGCAACUGUUUAUUAAAAACACAGCACUGUGCAAACACGAAAGUGGACGUAUACGGUGUGACGCCUGCCCGGUGCCGGAAGGUUAAUUGAUGGGGUUAUCCGUAAGGAGAAGCUCUUGAUCGAAGCCCCGGUAAACGGCGGCCGUAACUAUAACGGUCCUAAGGUAGCGAAAUUCCUUGUCGGGUAAGUUCCGACCUGCACGAAUGGCGUAAUGAUGGCCAGGCUGUCUCCACCCGAGACUCAGUGAAAUUGAACUCGCUGUGAAGAUGCAGUGUACCCGCGGCAAGACGGAAAGACCCCGUGAACCUUUACUAUAGCUUGACACUGAACAUUGAGCCUUGAUGUGUAGGAUAGGUGGGAGGCUUUGAAGCGUGGACGCCAGUCUGCGUGGAGCCAACCUUGAAAUACCACCCUUUAAUGUUUGAUGUUCUAACGUUGGCCCCUUACCGGGGUUGCGGACAGUGUCUGGUGGGUAGUUUGACUGGGGCGGUCUCCUCCCAAAGCGUAACGGAGGAGCACGAAGGUUAGCUAAUCCUGGUCGGACAUCAGGAGGUUAGUGCAAUGGCAUAAGCUAGCUUGACUGCGAGCGUGACGGCGCGAGCAGGUGCGAAAGCAGGUCAUAGUGAUCCGGUGGUUCUGAAUGGAAGGGCCAUCGCUCAACGGAUAAAAGGUACUCCGGGGAUAACAGGCUGAUACCGCCCAAGAGUUCAUAUCGACGGCGGUGUUUGGCACCUCGAUGUCGGCUCAUCACAUCCUGGGGCUGAAGUAGGUCCCAAGGGUAUGGCUGUUCGCCAUUUAAAGUGGUACGCGAGCUGGGUUUAGAACGUCGUGAGACAGUUCGGUCCCUAUCUGCCGUGGGCGCUGGAGAAUUGAGGGGGGCUGCUCCUAGUACGAGAGGACCGGAGUGGACGCAUCACUGGUGUUCGGGUUGUCAUGCCAAUGGCACUGCCCGGUAGCUAAAUGCGGAAGAGAUAAGUGCUGAAAGCAUCUAAGCACGAAACUUGCCCCGAGAUGAGUUCUCCCUGAGACUUUAAGUCUCCUGAAGGAACGUUGAAGACGACGACGUUGAUAGGCCGGGUGUGUAAGCGCAGCGAUGCGUUGAGCUAACCGGUACUAAUGAACCGUGAGGCUUAACCUUACAACGCCGAAG